rnacentral:siRNA from 1 species
UCAUACGUGGUUCUUUUUUUGAAC